rnacentral:lncRNA from 1 species
GGAGAAAGCUACGUCUCAUCUCAUCUCUGUGAAGGAUACGGAGCGAGAGGAUAGAGAGAAGUCCCGGUCUCCAUCGAGCUAGAUAACUUCAAACAUAAGUUUGACUAAUCUCAUAAAUCAUUCCCUAUGUUUGCUAUUUUCUAUAAAAUAGAAAAUUUAUAUAACAGUGUGUUCAAAAAAAAAUUAUAUAACAGAAGUAUAGUUAGUUGAGCAAUUCUCUCAAAUAGACUUUUUAAUUUUUUUGUCACAAAAAUUAAAACGACCAAAAUAACAUUUUUAUUUUGAAAUUUUUUUUUUUUUUAAUUUUGUUAAAUUUGAAAUCCUAUCCCCCAAAAUCUCACUCCUCAACUCUAAACCCUAAACCUUAAACUCUAAACCCUAAAUCCUAAACCUUAAACCUUAAACCCUAAACCCCAUCCCUUAACUCUAAACCCUAA